AUUAUUAACAUGAUGUGACCAUAGUUCAACUGAAAAACAUUGAUGCACAUAUUAUAAGCAAAUGUCUUUCGCUCCUAUCUGAUUAGUAGC